GUUUUGAUCCUGAAAGCAGAUUGAACGCUGGCGGGAUGCUUUACACAUGCAAGUCGAACGGCAGCACGGACUUCGGUCUGGUGGCGAGUGGCGAACAGGUGAGUAAUGUAUCGGAACGUGCCUAGUAGCGGGGGAUAACUACGCGAAAGCGUAGCUAAUACCGCAUACGCCCUUCGGGGGAAAGCAGGGGACCUUCGGGCCUCGCACUAUUAGAGCGGCCGAUAUCGGAUUAGCUAGUUGGUGGAAUAACGGCUCACCAAGGCGACGAUCCGUAGCUGGUUUGAGAGGACGACCAGCCACACUGGGACUGAGACACGGCCCAGACUCCUACGGGAGGCAGCAGUGGGGAAUUUUGGACAAUGGGGAAACCCUGAUCCAGCCAUCCCGCGUGUGCGAUGAAGGCCUUCGGGUUGUAAAGCACUUUUGGCAGGAAAGAAACGGCACGGGAUAAUGCCCCGUGCAACUGACAGUACCUGCAGAAUAAGCACCGGCUAACUACGUGCCAGCAGCCGCGGUAAUACGUAGGGUGCAAGCGUUAAUCGGAAUUACUGGGCGUAAAAAGCGUGCGAGGCGGUUCCGGAAAAGAAAGAUGUGAAAUCCCAGAGCUUAACUUUGGAACUGCAUUUUUAACUACCACCGAGCUAGAGUGUGUCAGAGGGAGGUGGAAUUCCGGCGUGUAGCAGUGAAAUGCGUAGAUAUGCGGGCCACCGAUGAAGGCAGCCUCUGGGAUAACACUGACGCUCAUGCACAGCGUGGGGAGCAAAUAGGAUUAGAUACCUGGUAGUCCACGCUCUAAACGAUGUCAACUAGCUGUUGGGGCCUUCGGGCCUUGGUAGCGCAGCUAACGCGUGAAGUUGACCGCCUGGGGAGUACAGUCGCAAGAUUAAAACUCAAAGGAAUUGACGGGGACCCGCACAAGCGGUGGAUGAUGUGGAUUAAUUCGAUGCAACGCGAAAACCUUACCUACCCUUGACAUGUCUGGAAUCCCGAAGAGAUUUGGGAGUGCUCGCAAGAGAACCGGAACACAGGUGCUGCAUGGCUGUCGUCAGCUCGUGUCGUCGAGAUGUUGGAUUAAGUCCACAACGAAGCGCAACCCUUGUCAUUAGUUGCUACGAAAGGGCACUCUAAUGAGACUGCCGGUGACAAACCGGAGGAAGGUGGGGAUGACGUCAAGUCCUCAUGGCCCAUAUGGGUAGGGCUUCACACGUCAUACAAUGGUGGGACAGAGGGGUCGCCAACCCGCGAGGGAGCCAAUCCCAGAAACCCGAUCGUAGUCCGGAUCGCAGUCUGCAACUCGACUGCGUGAAGUCAGAAUCGCUGGUAAUCGCGGAUCAGCAUGUCGCGGUGAAUACGUUCCCGGGUCUUGUACACACCGCCCGUCACACCAUGGGAGUGGGUUUUACCAGAAGUAGUUAGCCUAACCGUAAGGAGGGCGAUUACCACGGUAGGAUUCAUGACUGGGGUGAAGUCA
rnacentral:rRNA from 1 species